rnacentral:rRNA from 1 species
UACGUAGGGCGCAAGCGUUAUCCGGAAUUAUUGGGCGUAAAGAGCUCGUAGGCGGUUUGUCGCGUCUGCCGUGAAAGUCCGGGGCUCAACUCCGGAUCUGCGGUGGGUACGGGCAGCCUAGAGUGAUGUAGGGGAGACUGGAAUUCCUGGUGUAGCGGUGAAAUGCGCAGAUAUCAGGAGGAACACCGAUGGCGAAGGCAGGUCUCUGGGCAUUAACUGACGCUGAGGAGCGAAAGCAUGGGGAGCGAACAGG